ACAAUGGGGAUCACUAGCUAGGUGCUGUGAUUGCCCUACUUUGCUGUUUCUGAACUCCCAAUAUUGACCUCAGCUUUGACUUGGAUUUUGACUCCCGCUCGACUCUUGGAACCCCAACGUGGACCCUGAUAGCAGGAAUCAGGGCCCCCCAUUACGGAUACUUGGCAAGAAGUGGCUGCUCUGAAGAGUUUGCAGUUUGAUUUCAGAAAUGAUCCAGUGACGUCCAAUCUGCAGGAAUUUGGAGAUGAGUCAUUGAGUGAUUGUUUUGUGGUCGGCAAAAGGGUUUUCCCCGUGCUGAGGUGUUCCUGACCUAUUUCUCCUUGAGAGAAUUUGUUGCUGGUAGCAGGAGAACCUCUCCAAGAGAAUCUGACAUCCAGCAUUUCCAGCUUCUCCAGUCUUUUCCAGUGGACAAACUGGCCAGCAGGUACAUUUCCUGGACACCACGCAAGGAGUGCAAUGAACCUCAUCUCUCGUCUCUGGAUAGAGGAGGCACUGCAAGAUGCCCAGCUCUCACGUUAUCCCAGAAUGGCCGCAGCUGUAGAGCUUGCUCUAAUGGGGGUGUCCUCCAAGCAUUUACACUACAGCAUAUACAUUGAAUGACGUCAGGCGAUUGGAACAUUUCUUGCACAGGAAAAGCCAUCUUAUCUACAAAGCCCUCUGAGAGGGUUGGAUUAUACCACUGGGCUGAGUCACCAGCAUUCCUGGUGCUCAUACAGCAUUGCAGGAGGCAGCGUUGGUCUGUAUCAGAAACAACAAGCAUAGCUGAGUGAGGGGAUUACUCCCUUGCCCACUACAGGUUGUUUGUUUUUUUUUAAACAGGGGACUAUG